rnacentral:misc_RNA from 1 species
CAAUGGUGGAUACAAGUGACAAAGUUCAAGAAACUGGUGAGAUGAUUGGGCAAAAUCAAACCCCAGAAAGGGUUACAUCAGAGACUAACCAAAAAACUUGUGUUGAUUGUGGAACUACAAAAACUCCUCUGUGGAGAGGUGGACCUGCUGGACCUAAGUCAUUGUGUAAUGCAUGUGGAAUAAGGAGCAGGAAGAAGAGAAGAGCUCUUUUGGGAUUGAACAAAGACGACAAGAAAUCAAAGAAAUCUUCGUCUAAGAGCGUUGUUAAUCAUCAUCAACAGAACCAGAGUAGCAAUAGCAGUAGCAGUACAAGCAGCAGUGGAGAAAGUAUGAGUAAUGUAAUAGUGAAGAACGAAUGCAUUCCAUAUAAGAAACGAUUGCUGCAUUUUGAUCGAGAAGUUGGUUUGCAAAGACCAAGAUCAAACUCUACACACAGAAGGAAGUUAGGUGAAGAAGAACAAGCAGCAUUCUUGUUGAUGGCUCUUUCAUGUGGUUCUGUUUAUGCUUAGCAGAGGAAGAUAAUGUUGUACCUUUUUUUGGGUUGGUAGAGUAAG